CAGAAACGGGGUUGGAACCGGAAUCAGGAAGCCGGAACCUCCGCUGCCUCUAGAGCCAGGUUCGGUGUCAGGCCUUGGUCUCGCGGGCAGCGGGAAAACGCUGCGAGGAGGUUUACGUUGGGGAACGCGGUGAUCCGCAGCAUUUGGCGGCAGUCGCCCCCGGCGGGGCGGGGGAGGGCCUGACCGGAAGUCCGGUCAGAAGAGCGUGACGGUGAGAAGGGCAGGUGAGAGGCGGCGGUGUCCCCAAAGCAAAGGGGAGCCCCUCAAGACGUGAGAACCACCACGUCCUUCGUUCCCCAAAUCCCACUGUUUCUAGACUUUUUCCUUCUGGGAGGCCUGCAAAUGGCUGCUUCCGGGAGAAACAUUCGUCCCCGCUAUUUCUCCAGCCUUCCCCUGUUCCCGGUCCGGCCCUGCCCGCUUAACAUUCAGGAAUGAGAGUGAAGCCGGGGGUCCCGACGCCCAGAGUCCACAGCCUAUGAGGGUCUCCUGGGGCGAGAGGGGGUCGAGGCCACUGGCACGACGCCGUGACUUCACCAACAGCCUGCAGUUCCCGUGAACGAGAUUUGGCCAGGCCCUUGGACUAACGUCAGGAUUCUCCGGUUCCUGCCGUCAGCGCUCGAGGGUCAGACAAAGCCCCACAGGCAACGGCUCUCCGCCGACCCUCCGCAGCGAAGAGCGGAACGCCGAUUCGCCCGCGGCCGCUGGCUCUCCCACAAGGCCGAGCGCGGCCAAAGGGCAGCUCCGCCCCUGCCGUCUCCCGCGGCUCUAUUGGCUAACGUGCCUGCUACUCAGCCGCGCGCCCAACCCCGGCUUCCGGCCUGGAGGCGGGAUCCCAACUCUCCUCGGCUGGGCUCGCCUCGCUGCUCCUUGAACUUGGCGGUGUUUGGCGUCGUGGUUCCAGCGCCCGCCGCGGUUUCGCGGCCCACGGCGGACCUGCAUAAACAUUUUCUAGCUGGAAUCUCACUGCGAGGUGGCCCAGAUAGUGAUAUUCCCGUUUAACGCCGACAGAAAUGGGAGAGAGACCGAGUGACUCUCAGAACCGUGUGGCGGGAUUUUAAAGGGGUAUCUUAGCUGUGGCUGCGGACUCCAGACAGACCCGCGUUUUCUGCCCUUAGCAUUAACUGCGUCGUCGAACCCUUCUGAGUUUAUUUCGUCUGUGAGAUGGGGACGAGAGAGCCAUCUUGCAGAACUGGCGACAUUGAAAAACCAGCAGAAGAAUCCAGUGUGAGGACUGGCCCGUGGUCUGCUCUUGAUGGUGUGGGGGCGCUUAUGCACUAAGUCACUUAAUCUUUACAGUGCACACUAAGGUACAUCCUGUUAUAACUCCCAUUUUACAGACAAGGAAACUGAGGCACAGAUUUAAACACCUAUCCAGAUAAAAAGUGUGGGGGCUGUUUGACAUGCAAUCUAGCUGAUAAAGCCACACACAUUAAUAUUUGUACUAUAUGUUAUUGUACAAGAGCUGUCUUUGACAGUGAUUCUUGUGUCACCAUUUACAAGAUGCCCCUGACUUUUAUUAAACUCUCAAAGGGCAGGAGAAAAAAAAAAAACAACAACAACAAAAAACAGAAGAACCUACACCCUAAAUCAGAGACUACAUGCAGACAUACGGAUGGAUGAUUAGAAACCCAAGUUGUGGGUGCCAUGUUUGGAAUUCCAUUUUAGCUGAGUGCUUCAGACUGUCACAUCUCUCAGGGGCUCCCUGGAGUUGCCCACUAAGGAAAAAUGACUGAAUGACGGGACUGGAAUGGAAUGUAGCCAUCAUCUUAUCUGACCACACAAACACCUCGCAGGAGAUGAAUGCCUCACCUCCUCAUGAUAAUUUUGAAGACUCUCUGAGAAAGUGAUAACACUAGCCCAUGACCUCACAGUCACAAGGAACACUGGAGUGACUGCAGACCCUAUGUGCCUCACUCAGCAGGUGUCGCAGGAUAAAGGAAAGAGAUUGGGAGAGAGAUGCGAGCUGGUAGAUCAGCGGAGACCAAAGACUUAAACUGGAGACUUAACCAUGGGAAACGGGAACAGGGACUCAUUUGCUUGGAGGGUGAAAAGGGUGAAUUUACCUAUGGGGGAAAUCUGAAAGCACCCCUCCCUGGGAGCCAGCUUAGAGUUCCUCCUAAGGUGACCUUGGCCUCCGCAGCGGUGGUGGCCUUGAACUACAUAGCACAUUUGCACACUCAGCUUCUAAAUGCCCAGAGCAGCCCUGAGUCUUGCUGGGGAGAAGUACUCAGGUUCUUGGGCUUCACCUCUCCCUUCUGCCUUCUCUUCCUCCACCUUUCCAUAUCAGCCUGGGGAAUAUGAGGUGUGAGGAGGGAGGUGAGUGGAGGCUGAGUUUUGACCAAUGUUAUAUGACAUUUGAACCAGACUGAUGGCAAAAGGAAGAUCCUUUGGGAGGCAGGCCUACGUUCCCAUCCCUUUUCCUGCUCCUUCGGAUUAGUUAGCUCUCAAUCCUUCUCUCUGGAGGUGGUAAAGAACAGAGAGGCGCACCAGACAACAUCAGCCAAGUAAAAGUAGUGCUGAGGGUGGGUUCCCAAGUGAUCUGUCAACAUCCUGAAAUGAUAUUUUGAGUGACCAGAGAAAAUGCAGUCUCCACGAAGGAGGGAAGUCUAGGGUGGUUCCUGUAGAGAAACACUGGCUGUGAGAUUUAAGGGGUGAAAGUGACAGACAAGAAAUGAGGCAAGAGGCUGACAGUCAGUGGCACCAUUUGCUUUGGAAAUGGAGCAAAGUCUCUGGCAAAGGCUGUGAAGCUCACAAAAGCUUGGUCCUGGGGCAAGGUGGGAGGAUCGGCCUCAUAGGACAAGAGCAUGGCUGCAGAGUUAAAGCCCCAAGGACAAGCAAUAUGAAUUGGGACUUCACCAAACUACCAUCCCCCAAACAACUGGACAGUCUCUCUAUGGCAUGAAUAACAGCUAUUGUGCCACUUGGUAUGCAAAGACAAUUAUUGUACAUCUGUACUAUAAUUGUACUGGGCUUUUGCUAAUUGGCUGUAAAUGCUAACCUUUCUUAAGUGACUCUAAAAAGGAUAAUUUCUGCACAACACUAAUCAUUUGUGGACCUAGCCAGGAAGGCUGAAAGCAGCAGCAGGCUUAGUAGACUCUUCUGAAUGGCUUUGGAGACAUAGCCAGGGAAACCCAGAAUGAGAUAAGAAAACCAGUCCUCUCAUUUGCAACCUGGAACAUUUGAAUAUGGACACUUUGUUGUUCACCUUGGCACCAUUAGUAUUGAGCAGAUUUGUUAAGUAUUAGUUUGAACUGUAUGAUGUGCUAGUAUUCAACUGUUUUUGAUGCACAAAACACAGCCAUUUCCUAUGGCUGAAUCUAAUACAAUCCUGAGAUAAUAACAUAUUCUAAGAGAUGUUAACUUAGUUGAUUGAGGGAGAAAACUGGAAUUUUGAGGGCCUAGGUCUCUAGGAGUGAGUGUUCCCAAUUGUAAACAAUUCAUUAAAAAGAGACAUGCAGGAUCUCUAGUUAAAAAUUCUAGUUUCAUUUAUUUAUUCAUUCAUUGUAACAAUAUUAAAGAUCAUUGAACAUCUCCCAUGCAUCAGUCACUGUGCUAGAGAGACAGAAUAAAAUGAUGGUCACGGCCCUGAAGAAACACACAGAAUAGCAGAAUAGCAGGAAAUGCGUGAGGAUGGUACAAUAGACAGGACUAAGGAGGGUCCUAGGAGAACAGAAGAGGAAAACAGAGAAGGACUGUGGGGGAGGAAAGGAGGAAGACAAGGGGAGGUGAGGUCUUAGCCAAAGAAGGUUUUGAUGUGGGAAAGACAAGUAAUAAUUAACCAAAUAGGCAAGGCAGGAAGGAAAGUUCCAGACAAAACCAGGCAGAGAUGACCAUAUGAUUUAAAGAAACAACCUAUAUUUAGAGUGAAUAUAGGUGUAGUAAGUCUACAGAAAGGCGUUUAUCAAAGGGCUUUAGGUGUCUCAAAGUCAGAAACUGUGUCAUACUUAUGUUCAUAUAGUCAGUGUUGUGUCCAGGACCAUACCUAGCACAUGGUAGGUGCUUGGUAGAUAUUGAAAUAAACUGGCCUGGGGUGGGGAAAAAGCCUGAAAUUGAAAUAUGCCACAAAUUUAAAAGAACAAUUUUCUUUCCUGCUCCCACUAGUCUGAAUUGAUGAGGUUUCAAUAUAGUACUUGAAAUGUUAUGCAUGAAAACAUUCAUUUGCAACCCAUCUCUAGAAAGAGAUGUGGUUAUGUAACCUUUUAAUCUGUGUGUCUAAGUAGAUGUCAAAAGUAUGUCUUGUCUUGAAGACUGUCCUAAGUCUGUUCAAUGUUGCUGUAAUAGAAUACCUGAGGCUAGGUAACCUAAAAAGAAAAGAGCUUUAUUUAUCUCACAGCCCUGCAGUCUGGAAACUAUGAGAAGCACAGUACCAACAUCUGCUCAGCAUCGGAUGAAUCAGGGAAGGCUCUCAAAUGAAGCAGCCUCUGGAAGAUGAGGGCAUUCCACGGAGGAAGGGCAGCAUAUGCACCGGCGUGGAGUCAAUGAAGAGCCAUCGCAGAAUUUUAAAUAAGGAACCGAAAGAGUCUGAAAAUAGAGGCACAGAGACCAGUAAGUUGGUGGUUGCCAAUCAGUAGUCCAAGGAAAUGAUAAAUGAGCAGAGCCAUGAUCAGGACCAGAGAGGAGGCAACAGAAGAGAGAUGCUCAGGAUACAACUGAUGGACUUCAAGAAUGUCUGGAGGUCAACUGCAAUGAAGAACAAACCAUUUUGAUCUCCAUCCUGGUUUAUCUCCUCUGUGUUCUCAAAGCAUCAUAUUAUAAAAUGGCUCACAAACUC